CCUACGGGAGGCAGCAGUGGGGAAUAUUGGGCAAUGGAGGAAACUCUGACCCAGCGACGCCGCGUGCGGGAUGAAGGCCUUCGGGUUGUAAACCGCUUUCAGCAGGGAAGAAGCGAAAGUGACGGUACCUGCAGAAGAAGCACCGGCUAACUAUGUGCCAGCAGCCGCGGUAAUACAUAGGGUGCAAGCGUUGUCCGGAAUUAUUGGGCGUAAAGAGCUCGUAGGUGGUUCGUCACGUCGGAUGUGAAAAUCUGGGGCUUAACCCCAGACCUGCAUUCGAUACGGGCGAGCUUGAGUAUGGUAGGGGAGUCUGGAAUUCCUGGUGUAGCGGUGGAAUGCGCAGAUAUCAGGAGGAACACCAAUGGCGAAGGCAGGACUCUGGGCCAUUACUGACACUGAGGAGCGAAAGCGUGGGGAGCGAACAGGAUUAGAUACCCUGGUAGUCCACGCCGUAACCGGUGGGCACUAGUUGUGGGGACCUUCCACGGUCUCUGCGACGCAGCUAACGCAUUAAGUGCCCCGCCUGGGGAGUACGAUCGCAAGAUUAAAACUCAAAGGAAUUGACGG
rnacentral:rRNA from 1 species